UGCCUCAACGUAGAUUCAAACCCGAAACUCUUGCAUACAGGGCAGGAGUGCUACCAUUACACCAUCCGGGA